rnacentral:rRNA from 1 species
GUAAAAAGUAGAAUAAUAGAUUUGAAAUAUUUAUUAUAUAGAUUUAAAGAGAUAAUCAUGGAGUAUAAAAAUUAAAUUUAAUAAAUUUAAUAUAACUAUUAAUAGAAUUAGGUUACUAAUAAAUUAAUAACAAUUAAUUUUAAAACCUAAAGGUAAACCUUUAUAUUAAUAAUGUUUUUUUUUUUAUUUUUAUAAUUAAGAAUAAUUAUUAAUAAUAAUAAACUAAGUGAACUGAAACAUCUAAGUAACUUAAGGAUAAUAAAUCAACAGAGAUAUUAUGAGUAUUGGUGAGAGAAAAUAAUAAAGGUCUAAUAAGUAUUAUGUGAAAAAAAUGUAAGAAAAUAGGAUAACAAAUUCUAAGACUAAAUACUAUUAAUAAGUAUAGUAAGUACCGUAAGGGAAAAUAUGAAAAUGAUUAUUUUAUAAGCAAUCAUGAAUAUAUUAUAUUAUAUUAAUGAUGUACCUUUUGUAUAAUGGGUCAGCAAGUAAUUAAUAUUAGUAAAACAAUAAGUUAUAAAUAAAUAGAAUAAUAUAUAUAUAUAAAAAAAUAUAUUAAAAUAUUUAAUUAAUAUUAAUUGACCCGAAAGCAAACGAUCUAACUAUGAUAAGAUGGAUAAACGAUCGAACAGGUUGAUGUUGCAAUAUCAUCUGAUUAAUUGUGGUUAGUAGUGAAAGACAAAUCUGGUUUGCAGAUAGCUGGUUUUCUAUGAAAUAUAUGUAAGUAUAGCCUUUAUAAAUAAUAAUUAUUAUAUAAUAUUAUAUUAAUAUUAUAUAAAGAAUGGUACAGCAAUUAAUAUAUAUUAGGGAACUAUUAAAGUUUUAUUAAUAAUAUUAAAUCUCGAAAUAUUUAAUUAUAUAUAAUAAAGAGUCAGAUUAUGUGCGAUAAGGUAAAUAAUCUAAAGGGAAACAGCCCAGAUUAAGAUAUAAAGUUCCUAAUAAAUAAUAAGUGAAAUAAAUAUUAAAAUAUUAUAAUAUAAUCAGUUAAUGGGUUUGACAAUAACCAUUUUUUAAUGAACAUGUAACAAUGCACUGAUUUAUAAUAAAUAAAAAAAAUAAUAUUUAAAAUCAAAUAUAUAUAUAUUUGUUAAUAGAUAAUAUACGGAUCUUAAUAAUAAGAAUUAUUUAAUUCCUAAUAUGGAAUAUUAUAUUUUUAUAAUAAUAAUAAAAAUAUAAAUACUGAAUAUCUAAAUAUUAUUAUUACUUUUUUUUUUAAUAAUAAUAAUAUGGUAAUAGAACAUUUAAUGAUAAUAUAUAUUAGUUAUUAAUUAAUAUAUGUAUUAAUUAAAUAGAGAAUGCUGACAUGAGUAACGAAAAAAAGGUAUAAACCUUUUCACCUAAAACAUAAGGUUUAACUAUAAAAGUACGGCCCCUAAUUAAAUUAUAUAAGAAUAUAAAUAUAUUUAAGAUGGGAUAAUCUAUAUUAAUAAAAAUUUAUCUUAAAAUAUAUAUAUUAUUAAUAAUUAUAUUAAUUAAUUAAUAAUAUAUAUAAUUAUAUUAUAUAUUAUAUUUUUAUAUAUAAUAUAUAUAAUAUAAACUAAUAAAGAUCAGGAAAUAAUUAAUGUAUACCGUAAUGUAGACCGACUCAGGUAUGUAAGUAGAGAAUAUGAAGGUGAAUUAGAUAAUUAAAGGGAAGGAACUCGGCAAAGAUAGCUCAUAAGUUAGUCAAUAAAGAGUAAUAAGAACAAAGUUGUACAACUGUUUACUAAAAACACCGCACUUUGCAGAAACGAUAAGUUUAAGUAUAAGGUGUGAACUCUGCUCCAUGCUUAAUAUAUAAAUAAAAUUAUUUAACGAUAAUUUUAUUAAAUUUAGGUAAAUAGCAGCCUUAUUAUGAGGGUUAUAAUGUAGCGAAAUUCCUUGGCCUAUAAUUGAGGUCCCGCAUGAAUGACGUAAUGAUACAACAACUGUCUCCCCUUUAAGCUAAGUGAAAUUGAAAUCGUAGUGAAGAUGCUAUGUACCUUCAGCAAGACGGAAAGACCCUAUGCAGCUUUACUGUAAUUAGAUAGAUCGAAUUAUUGUUUAUUAUAUUCAGCAUAUUAAGUAAUCCUAUUAUUAGGUAAUCGUUUAGAUAUUAAUGAGAUACUUAUUAUAAUAUAAUGAUAAUUCUAAUCUUAUAAAUAAUUAUUAUUAUUAUUAUUAAUAAUAAUAAUAUGCUUUCAAGCAUAGUGAUAAAACAUAUUUAUAUGAUAAUCACUUUACUUAAUAGAUAUAAUUCUUAAGUAAUAUAUAAUAUAUAUUUUAUAUAUAUUAUAUAUAAUAUAAGAGACAAUCUCUAAUUGGUAGUUUUGAUGGGGCGUCAUUAUCAGCAAAAGUAUCUGAAUAAGUCCAUAAAUAAAUAUAUAAAAUUAUUGAAUAAAAAAAAAUAAUAUAUAUUAUAUAUAUUAAUUAUAAAUUGAAAUAUGUUUAUAUAAAUUUAUAUUUAUUGAAUAUAUUUUAGUAAUAGAUAAAAAUAUGUACAGUAAAAUUGUAAGGAAAACAAUAAUAACUUUCUCACUUAAAAAUAAAAAUGGAAAGAAUUAAAUUAAUAUAAUGGUAUAACUGUGCGAUAAUUGUAACACAAACGAGUGAAACAAGUACGUAAGUAUGGCAUAAUGAACAAAUAACACUGAUUGUAAAGGUUAUUGAUAACGAAUAAAAGUUACGCUAGGGAUAACAGGGUAAUAUAACGAAAGAGUAGAUAUUGUAAGUUAUGUUUGCCACCUCGAUGUCGACUCAACAUUUCCUCUUGGUUGUAAAAGCUAAGAAGGGUUUGACUGUUCGUCAAUUAAAAUGUUACGUGAGUUGGGUUAAAUACGAUGUGAAUCAGUAUGGUUCCUAUCUGCUGAAGGAAAUAUUAUCAAAUUAAAUCUCAUUAUUAGUACGCAAGGACCAUAAUGAAUCAACCCAUGGUGUAUCUAUUGAUAAUAAUAUAAUAUAUUUAAUAAAAAUAAUACUUUAUUAAUAUAUUAUCUAUAUUAGUUUAUAUUUUAAUUAUAUAUUAUCAUAGUAGAUAAGCUAAGUUGAUAAUAAAUAAAUAUUGAAUACAUAUUAAAUAUGAAGUUGUUUUAAUAAGAUAAUUAAUCUGAUAAUUUUAUACUAAAAUUAAUAAUUAUAGGUUUUAUAUAUUAUUUAUAAAUAAAUAUAAUAUAAUAAUAAUAAUUAUUAUUAUUAUUAAUAAAAAAAUAUUAAUUAUAAUAUUAAUAAAAUACUAAUUUAUCAGUUAUCUAUAUAAUAUCUAAUCUAUUAUUCUAUAUACU